UAUGUAGCCGGGUGGUAAAUUUUGGUUAAAUAAUUGCACUGUUUCAAAGUGUUGGUUUUCUUUUAUUGUUACAGUAGCAAUGCUAUUAAGUGAUUUUGUUUCAGUUAUGUAAUUUUAUUUCCUAUGUGUAUGUUUUUCACAUUUAAACAUGUUCAGGUAGUUGGUCUCAGGUGCUGCACAUUUUGUCCACUAGAGAGCAGUGUUUCAAAGUGAUUACUGUUUCCCAAAACGGGGCAGGAAAUGCAUUUUGUUCUCUUCCGGUGUUGCUAUGCUACGUGAUGAACUUGGACGGGAACCGUAUGUGAUUUAUCUGCAGGUCAUAGUUUCAGCAGAAAAUCGAUGGUUCAGGGAGCCUGUCUGUGCGGUGCAGGGCGGCCAUUUACUGCACGUGAAAAUAAGAUGUCCGAUCAUCGGUGUUCUCCAGUAUUAAGAGUGAACUGAGACAUUACUGUCGAAUCCAGAGGCCACUGCCGUAUUUCUAUUUCUUUUCUUUGACAUAUUGUAUGUUCUUUUGAGAUCUGCCACAUUUCAUGAAUAUUUACCAAAUGUUUAGGUACAUCUAUGUUCUGAUUUUUGAACAACAGUAAGGAACAAGACAGCUUUGUUCAGUCUGUUCCCACUGAUUAAAUAUACUGCACACUAAGAACCCCAGUUAUUGUGUCCUGUGAGGUUAAGUAUUUCCCGGGCUACAUAUAGAUGAAUAAAAAAUCUUGUACAUUUGAGUAUGUGGUUAUAGCAAUACUUCUAGAAGGUACUGUUAAUGUGCUAAGAGGGAGAAGGUUGUUUCAAACUCAAAAAAAAAAAAAAAAAAAGAUAAGGAACUCCUCCCUAACACCAGCAGUUUCCUCCACUGUGGGUCAGACUGAAGCACAACUGAAGGGGAGCUAAUUGACUCUGCUGAGUAAUGAGACUCAUCGUUCACAGUAAUAAAAAAGAAUCGUCUCCGUCUCAGGAAUGACAAAUCUCCGCUCCGUUUUAACCGCUGCCGGUUUAUGGACGCCGCCUGCUUGUCACGCAUGGAGGCGUCAAAUCACACUGCGCUGCACUUUGUCAGCCUUCUGUAACGGCGACACCAGCUGUGAGGAUGAUGCACCGUCCUUUUGUGUCAUCACAAGUUGACUUCAAGGACUUUCUGCGCUGGGGGGGUGGCUAAGCGUUUAGUCAUUAUUGACGCAGGCCGGCCCUGAAGCUUGCGGACAGGGAUGAAUGAGAGGGACGUUCGCGUUUUGUCGGAAGGCUGCUCGGCAUUUGAA